AUUGAACGCUGGCGGCAGGCUUAACACAUGCAAGUAGAACGAGUGGCGGACGGGUGAGUAAUGUUUGGGAAUCUGGCUUAUGGAGGGGGAUAAAUACGGGAAACUGUAGCUAAUACCACGUACGCUAGGAUGCGCCCAAGUGGGAUUAGGUAGUUGGUGAGGUAAAGGCUCACAAAGCCGACGAUCUCUAGCUGGUCUGAGAGGAUGCCCAGCCACACUGGGACUGAGACACGGCCCCGCCUCCUCCGGGAGGCAUCAGUGGGGAAUAUUGCGCAAUGGGGGCAACCUGACGCAGCCAUGCCGCGUGAAUGAAGAAGGCCUUCGGGUUGUAAAGUUCUUUCGGUAGCGAGGCGUUAACUACAGAAGAAGCACCGGCUAACUCCGUGCCAGCAGCCGCGGUAAUAC
rnacentral:rRNA from 1 species